GACGAGAGGACUGAGGCGGGGGCGCAGCCGGGCAGGCCUGGGCUUUGGGCUGCUGCCUCAGUUUACCAUUUACAUUAGUAAAAUGGAGGCCUUGUUUUAGGAGUAACCUGCUCUGGUGCCUCCACGGACCACUUUGAAUCUAUCGCCUGCACAAAGUUCUUGCAGCCUCAGUUUCUCCAUUUAUUAUAAAGGAGGCAGGAAGAAGCUAGCUCCGGACCGGUUUGAGAAUUCCAUGUAUCAAAAGUGAGUCAAAGGCUAGCACACCCCAAGAGCCCAGCCCGUCGCCACAAGGAGGGGCAGGGUGUAGGUGCCGUCUAUGGUUGUACCCGGCUACACAAGGCAGUCAGAGCAACGUGGGCACUCCCAAAAGACCACUCCAGCCUAAGAAGGGCCUUCUCUUCUUCAGACCUUGGAGCCUUCUCAGGCAUGACCCAGACAAGUAUACCAGACCUGGGGACACCUAGAAGCCUCCACAUGGGUGCAAGAUUUAAGAAGGGGCCAGGUAUGGGGGCACAUACCUUUAGUCCUAGUAUUAGUCCUAGUACUCAGGCAAGCUCUCCCUUUGUUGGAAGCUAGCCUGAUUUACAUAUUGAGUGCCAAGCCUGCCAGGGCUGUAAAAUGAGGUUCCGCAGGAGCCUGGAGAGAGCAUCAGCCUCUCUUUUUCCAGAGGACCCAGGUUCACUUCCUAGCACCCACAUGGCUGCUAACAGCCAUCCAGGAUUCCAGCUCCAGGGACUCAAUCAUUUUCUUAGACAUGCACACUGGCAAAACACCCACACUAAAUAAAUACAUAAAUAGAAUUUUAAAAGAGAUUUAAUAAAACAUAAAGGAAAGUUAACAA
rnacentral:lncRNA from 1 species